rnacentral:rRNA from 1 species
GAUGAACGCUAGCGGCAGGCUUAAUACAUGCAAGUCGAGGGGCAGCAGGUCUGUAGCAAUACAGAUGCUGGCGACCGGCAAACGGGUGCGGAACACGUACAGAACCUUCCUUCGAGCGGGGAAUAGCCCAGAGAAAUUUGGAUUAAUACCCCAUAGUACAUUGAAGAGGCAUCUCUUUAAUAUUAAGAUUAUCACUUGAAGAUGGCUGUGCGGCNGAUUAGGUAGUUGGCGGGGUAACGGCCCACCAAGCCUACCGAUCAGUAACUGGUGUGAGAGCACGACCA